rnacentral:rRNA from 1 species
AACGAACGCUGGCGGCAGGCUUAACACAUGCAAGUCGAGCGCCCCGCAAGGGGAGCGGCAGACGGGUGAGUAACGCGUGGGAAUCUACCCAUCUCUACGGAAUAACGCAUGGAAACGUGUGCUAAUACCGUAUACGUCCUUCGGGAGAAAGAUUUAUCGGAGAUGGAUGAGCCCGCGUUGGAUUAGCUAGUUGGUGGGGUAAAGGCCUACCAAGGCGACGAUCCAUAGCUGGUCUGAGAGGAUGAUCAGCCACACUGGGACUGAGACACGGCCCGGACGCCUACGGGAGGCUGCAGUGGGGAAUAUUGGACAAGGGGCGCAAGCCUGAGCCAGCCAUGCCGCGUGAGUGAUGAAGGCCCUAGGGUUGUAAAGCUCUUUCACCGGUGAAGAUAAUGACGGUAACCGGAGAAGAAGCCCCGGCUAACUUCGUGCCAGCCGCCGCCGUAACAC